rnacentral:rRNA from 1 species
AUUGAACGCUGGCGGCAUGCUUUACACAUGCAAGUCGAACGGUACCAGGCCGCAAGGUGCUGACGAGUGGCGAACGGGUGAGUAAUGCAUCGGAACGUGCCCAGUCGUGGGGGAUAACGCAGCGAAAGCUGCGCUAAUACCGCAUACGAUCUAUGGAUGAAAGCGGGGGACCGUAAGGCCUCGCGCGAUUGGAGCGGCCGAUGUCAGAUUAGGUAGUUGGUGGGGUAAAGGCUCACCAAGCCAACGAUCUGUAGCUGGUCUGAGAGGACGACCAGCCACACUGGGACUGAGACACGGCCCAGACUCCUACGGGAGGCAGCAGUGGGGAAUUUUGGACAAUGGGCGCAAGCCUGAUCCAGCAAUGCCGCGUGCAGGAAGAAGGCCUUCGGGUUGUAAACUGCUUUUGUACGGAACGAAACGGUCCUGGUUAAUACCUGGGGCUAAUGACGGUACCGUAAGAAUAAGCACCGGCUAACUACGUGCCAGCCGCCGCCGUAAAAC